CUCUUGCUCUGUCGCACAGGCUGGAGUGUAGUGGCACCAUCUCGGAUCACUGCAGUCUCCACCUCCUGGGCUCAAGCAAUUCUCCCACUUUCUCCUGUAGCCAGGACUACAGGAAUUAACAUUUGUAUCCUUUCCAUGGAAUACUCGUUAAGAAUACAUCAAACGCAUGCGGUACAAAUGAAUACUUCGAGGACAGCCUGAUGAUUACAUGACACCUGGAGAUUUCCAUGGGGACCUGUGUGGCUUGCCGUUCCAGUUCUGUCCUCUCCGGGGCUUGGGAAGGUUCCACCCAGCUGGACCCCGCCCACGGGCCCACCUGGUGCCAUGCAUGGAGAGGUGAACACGGCUCCCAAGGCCAAGCAUGACAGAACUGGGCAGAAAGAGACUCGGACCAUUUUUCAGGAGCGAUGACCAUCUGCGGACAAGGCCAACCAGCCUUCCUGUCCUAAGAGUCCCAUUUGUCCAAUAAAACUACUUAAAUAAAAGCACCACCCCUCUCCAUGGCCCCCCGCCAGAAACUACAGGAAGGG
rnacentral:lncRNA from 1 species